rnacentral:rRNA from 1 species
AACAGGAUUAGAUACCCUGGUAGUCCACGCUGUAAACGAUGGGCACUAGGUGUGGGGGGUGUCGACUCCCUCCGUGCCGACGCUAACGCAUUAAGUGCCCCGCCUGGGGAGUACGGCCGCAAGGCUAAAACUCAAAGGAAUUGACGGGGGCCCGCGCAAGCAGCGGAGCAUGUGGUUUAAUUCGACGCAACGCGAAGAACCUUACCUGGGCUUGACAUGUUUCUGACCGCCGUGGAAACACGGCUUCCCUUCGGGGCAGAAUCACAGGUGGUGCAUGGCUGUCGUCAGCUCGUGUCGUGAGAUGUUGGGUUAAGUCCCGCAACGAGCGCAACCCCCGUCGCAUGUUGCCAGCAUUUAGUUGGGGACUCAUGCGAGACUGCCGGUGACAAACCGGAGGAAGGUGGGGAUGACGUCAAGUCCUCAUGCCCCUUAUGUCCAGGGCUACACACGUGCUACAUUGGCGCGUACAGAGGGUAGCGAUACCGCGAGGUGGAGCGAAUCCCUUAAAGCGCGUCUCGGUUCGGAUUGCAGGCUGAAACUCGCCUGCAUGAAGGCGGAGUUGCUAGUAAUCGCGGAUCAGCACUGCCGCGGUGAAUACGUUCCCGGGCCUUGUACACACCGCCCGUCACACCACGGGAGUGAGCAACACCCGAAGCCGGUGGCCUAACCCUUUUGGGAUGGAGCCGUCGAAGGUGGGGCUCGUGACUGGGGUGAAGUCGUAACAAGGUAGCCGUA